rnacentral:rRNA from 1 species
GACGAACGCUGGCGGCGUGCCUAAUACAUGCAAGUAGAACGCUGAAGAGAGGAGCUUGCUCUUCUUGGAUGAGUUGCGAACGGGUGAGUAACGCGUAGGUAACCUGCCUUGUAGCGGGGGAUAACUAUUGGAAACGAUAGCUAAUACCGCAUAACAAUGGAUGACCCAUGUCAUUUAUUUGAAAGGGGCAAAUGCUCCACUACAAGAUGGACCUGCGUUGUAUUAGCUAGUAGGUGAGGUAACGGCUCACCUAGGCGACGAUACAUAGCCGACCUGAGAGGGUGAUCGGCCACACUGGGACUGAGACACGGCCCAGACUCCUACGGGAGACAGCAGUAGGGAAUCUUCGGCAAUGGGGGCAACCCUGACCGAGCAACGCCGCGUGAGUGAAGAAGGUUUUCGGAUCGUAAAGCUCUGUUGUAAGUCAAGAACGAGUGUGAGAGUGGAAAGUUCACACUGUGACGGUAGCUUACCAGAAAGGGACGGCUAACUACGU